UAGGGAAUCUUCGGCAAUGGGGGCAACCCUGACCGAGCAACGCCGCGUGAGUGAAGAAGGUUUUCGGAUCGUAAAGCUCUGUUGUAAGAGAAGAACGUGUGUGAGAGUGGAAAGUUCACACAGUGACGGUAACUUACCAGAAAGGGACGGCUAACUACGUGCCAGCAGCCGCGGUAAUACGUAGGUCCCGAGCGUUGUCCGGAUUUAUUGGGCGUAAAGCGAGCGCAGGCGGUUUAAUAAGUCUGAAGUUAAAGGCAGUGGCUUAACCAUUGUUCGCUUUGGAAACUGUUAAACGUGAGUGCAGAAGGGGAGGGUGGAAUUCCAUGUGUAGCGGUGAAAUGCGUAGAUAUAUGGAGGAACACCGGUGGCGAAGGCAGCUCUCUGGUCUGUAACUGACGCUGAGGCUCGAAAGCGUGGGGAGCAAACAGG
rnacentral:rRNA from 1 species